AUUGAACGCUGGCGGCAGGCCUAACACAUGCAAGUCGAGCGAGCGGCGGACGGGUGAGUAAUGCCUGGGAAUUGCCCAGUCGAGGGGGAUAACAGUUGGAAACGACUGCUAAUCCCGCAUACGAUUGGCUUGCACAGGUGGGAUUAGCUAGUUGGUGGGGUAAUGGCUCACCAAGGCGACGAUCCCUAGCUGGUCUGAGAGGAUGAUCAGCCAAACUGGAACUGGGACACGGUCCGGACUCCUACGGGAGGCAGCAGUGGGAAAUAUUGCAAAAUGGGGGAAGCCCUGAUGCGGCAAGGCCGCGUGUGGAAAGAAGGCCUUCGGGUGGUAAAGCACGUUCAGCGAGGAGGCGUUACUCGCAGAAGAAGCACCGGCUAACUCCGUGCCAGCAGCCGCGGUAAUUC
rnacentral:rRNA from 1 species